rnacentral:rRNA from 1 species
GUAGGGUGCAAGCGUUGUCCGGAAUUAUUGGGCGUAAAGAGCUCGUAGGCGGUUUGUUGCGUCGGCUGUGAAAUCCCGAGGCUCAACCUCGGGUCUGCAGUCGAUACGAGCAAACUAGAGUGUUGCAGGGGAGACUGGAAUUCCUGGUGUAGCGGUGAAAUGCGCAGAUAUCAGGAGGAACACCGGUGGCGAAGGCGGGUCUCUGGGCAACAACUGACGCUGAGGAGCGAAAGCGUGGGGAGCGAACAGGAUUAGAUACCCUGGUAGUCCACGCCGUAAACGUUGGGCGCUAGGUGUGGGGCUCAUUCCACGAGUUCCGUGCCGCAGCUAACGCAUUAAGCGCCCCGCCUGGGGAGUACGGC